rnacentral:rRNA from 1 species
GUACACUCCUACGGGAGGCAGCAGUGGGGAAUUUUGGACAAUGGGCGAAAGCCUGAUCCAGCAAUGCCGCGUGCAGGAUGAAGGCCUUCGGGUUGUAAACUGCUUUUGUACGGAACGAAAAAGCUCCUUCUAAUACAGGGGGCCCAUGACGGUACCGUAAGAAUAAGCACUGGCUAACUACGUGCCAGCAGCCGCGGUAAUACGUAGGGUGCGAGCGUUAAUCGGAAUUACUGGGCGUAAAGCGUGCGCAGGCGGUUAUGUAAGACAGAUGUGAAAUCCCCGGGCUCAACCUGGGAACUGCAUUUGUGACUGCAUGGCUAGAGUACGGUAGAGGGGGAUGGAAUUCCGCGUGUAGCAGUGAAAUGCGUAGAUAUGCGGAGGAACACCGAUGGCGAAGGCAAUCCCCUGGACCUGUACUGACGCUCAUGCACGAAAGCGUGGGGAGCAAACAGGAUUAGAUACCCUGGUAGUCCCA